UCAUAGUCCAACCGUGUGGCUGGAAAAAUAGUGCCAUGAGAAGUAAUGCUGAAGUCUUGGCUCAGAGUGUAAUACAGCAGCUGGGCAUUCUCCUUGGAAUCACAGUCAGUGGCUGUCACUGGUAGAAGGGAAGAGAAAGACAUUGUGUAGAUCAAAGUUGGUGAAUUGGAAUGAGCACCACCACUUGAAGCUCAAGUGCUUGGUCUCCCUGGGAAGAAGCAGUCUUCUCGUCAAGCAUCCAAACAAAACCUCCCACAGAACAGUUAAAGUGUACAAGAGGCUGUUAAUGCAAGAGAGCAGAACUCCUGCAGCAAGCCCACACAGGACUCUCAGAGACAGAGAAGCUGAGCUGAGGCAUCCACAACUUCUGAUAAAGGAUCACUCUCUUCCUUCAAGAAAUGUAGCAAGACUGUUACUAUGAGCCUGCUGCUGUAAUACCAACCACAACAAAGUUCUGUUACUUCAAAAUUCCACAAGAAAAUCUGUUUCUUUUGCCUUCCUGUCCCCCAAAACUGUUUGGGCUGUGGCACCAGUAAAUAACUCUGACAUGAAUCUACAAGGUGUCAUUUGCCUUCAGAGAGCUGCAACUACCCACACUGGGACAAGUAAUUUUGCUUUCUGAACUGAAUUCUAAGUGGUGCAAGGGAGAAAAAUACAGUGAACGUAAUAAAUGGCUUCAGGAGCACUAAC